UCUGGUUGAUCCUGCCUGAACUGAUGUGUUCAUUUCAAAGAUUAAGCCAUGCAUGUAUAAGUUUAAUCGUUUUAACGAGAAACCGCGAACGGCUCAUUACAAUGGCCAUGAUUUACUUGAUCUUGAUUAUCUAAAUGGAUAACUGUGGAAAAGCUAGAGCUAAUACAUGCACCAAAGCUUUGUCCUCUCGGAAAAAGCGCAUUUAUUAGAACAAAACCACGCGGCUUCGGCUGCUUCUUGUUGACUCAGAAUAACUAAGCUGACCGCAUGGCCUUGUGCCGGCGGCGUGUCUUUCAAGCGUCCACUUUAUCAACUUGACGGGAGCAUAAUCGACUCCCGUGGUGGUGACGGAUAACGGAGGAUCAGGGUUCGACUCCGGAGAAGGGGCCUGAGAAAUGGCCACUACGUCUAAGGAUGCAGCAGGCGCGCAAAUUACCCACUCUCGGCUCGAGGAGGUAUGACGAGAAAUAACGAGAUCGUUCUCUUUGAGGCCGGUCAUCGGAAUGGUACAAUUUAAAACCUUUAACGAGUAUCAAGCAGAGGGCAAGUCUGGUGCCAGCAGCCGCGGUAAUUCCAGCUCUGCUAAUACAUAGAAUUAUUGCUGCGGUUAAAAAGCUCGUAGUUGGAUUCGUAUCGGUACCCUGGAACCCUCUGGGUGUUUCUGGUGUUAUCGAUUUAUCGUAAUGUUCGGUUUUGAGUCCUUAACAGGAUUCUUAACAGGCAUUGCAAGUUUACUUUGAACAAUCAGAGUGCUUCAAACAGGCGUUUUCGCUUGAAUGAUCGUGCAUGGAAUAAUAGAAAACGAUUUCGGUUCAGUUUUAUUGGUUUUACGGACUGAGAUAAUGGUUAACAGAGACAAACGGGGGCAUUUGUAUGGCCCCGUGAGAGGUGAAAUUCUUGGACCGUGGCCAGACAAACUACAGCGAAAGCAUUUGCCAAGAAUGUCUUCAUUAAUCAAGAACGAAAGUCAGAGGUUCGAAGGCGAUCAGAUACCGCCCUAGUUCUGACCGUAAACGAUGCCAACUAGCGAUCCGCCGAUGGAAAUUAUAUUGCCUUGGUGGGGAGCUUCCCGGAAACGAAAGUCUUCCGGUUCCGGGGAAGUAUGGUUGCAAAGCUGAAACUUAAAGGAAUUGACGGAAGGGCACCACCAGGAGUGGAGCCUGCGGCUUAAUUUGACUCAACACGGGGAAACUCACCCGGCCCGGACACUGUGAGGAUUGACAGAUUGAUAGCUUUUUCAUGAUUCAGUGGAUGGUGGUGCAUGGCCGUUCUUAGUUCGUGGAGUGAUUUGUCUGGUUUAUUCCGAUAACGAGCGAGACUCUAACCUACUAAAUAGCUGGUACAUACUCUUAGUGUAUACAGCUUCUUAGAGGAUUUGCGGUGUUCAGCCGAAAGAAAUUGAGCAAUAACAGGUCUGUGAUGCCCUUAGAUGUCCGGGGCUGCACGCGCGCUACACUGGCAAAAUCAACGUGCUUGUCCUACCCGAAGGGGGCGGGUAAACCAUUGAAAAUUUGCCGUGAUUGGGAUCGGAAAUUGCAAUUAUUUUCCUGUGAACGAGGAAUUCCAAGUAAGUGCGAGUCAUCAGCUCGCGUUGAUUACGUCCCUGCCCUUUGUACACACCGCCCGUCGCUGCCCGGGACUGAGCCAUUUCGAGAAAUUUGGGGACCGUUGAUUUAAUUUUUCUAAAUUACUUUGAUGGAAACCAAUUUAAUCGCAGUGGCUUGAACCGGGCAAAAGUCGUAACAAGGUAGCUGUAGGUGAACCUGCUGCUG
rnacentral:rRNA from 1 species